UUUGGUGGCAUGAGCGGAGAGGUCACACCUGUUCCCAUCCCGAACACAGUAGUUAAGCUCUCCAGCGCCGAUGAUAGCCGUAAGGCAAAAGUAGGCCGCCGCCAGAA
rnacentral:rRNA from 1 species